CUGCCUGCUCCCCACGCGACGUCGGGCUCCGGGAGGCAAAGGCCGGCGGCCGCGAACCCAGCCGGCUGGAGGGUGGCCUCUGCCGGGGGCUGGCGGCCCAGCCGUUCGGGGUCCCCACCCCCGGGCCGUCCCCCGCCGAGUCCGGCUGGAGCCCUGCCUGUGACCCGCCUGUGACCCUGAGCAGGUGGCUGGCCCCGUCUCCCUCCGGACCGGCCGCGUGUGUCCGCAGUGGGGACCCGCGGUGACCGGGCCCGGGCUCUGCAGCAGGUGGGCGGCGGCGGGGGCAGGACGUCCCCUGCAGCCCUCCCUCCGCGGCCUGGGCAGCCCUGGCUGGACGGGCGCCGGGCCGGGAGCGCGCGGGCUAGGCGUGUCCCUCCGGGGCCGUCUGCUGGUCACCUGGCUCGUGCGGCUGGUUCCCGGCCCGAUGGUCCCGCCGGGCGGAAGGGCCGGGGGCGGUCCUCGCCCUGGGAAGGGCCUUCGGACUGCGGGAUCCGACCUCCGUCAUUUGAGUCCCCGAGCUUUACAUGGGGUGGUGAGAAGGGGUCAGAGCCACCUGCCCCCUGGGUCCUGUUGGCUCACCCUGAGCCUGGGCGCAGGCAGGGGCUGCACGCUGGCAGGGGCCUGCAGUGGUCCUGCGGCUGGACAAACGCGGGAUGGCCUGGUGGUGCAGCGUGAGGCACGAGGGGGCUGGGUGGGAGCUAUUUCAGGUAGAAAACGGAGUGGCAGCAGGAAGAGACCCAAAGUGGGUGAGGCCUGAGCUCCCAGGUGUCCCUGCAGUGAGUGCCAGGGUCGCAUCGGGAUGCAGCUCCUGGGUGCCAGGCAGAGGCCUCCAUGUGGAUUCUGGGCCGGUGAGGCAGGUCCUGUAAAGGCUUGGAGCCGAGCCCCCUGUAGCCAGGACUGGUGGGAAGAGGUGCCCUGCCCUCUGAAGAGCAGAGCCACAGCCUGGCUGGUGCAGGGAGUGCAGCCAGCAACAGACCCUUGAAGGAUGCGGCCCUGCAGGACUGGACCAGAGACGGGGCUGGGCCUGGGGGUCCUGGCUUCCCAAGACAGCCAGGGGGAAGCUGCGUGCUUCUCCUGACACGCUUCUGCCGUGUUUUGUGGCCGCGGCUGUCACCCAGCCUGGGCUCAAGGGGGUGGAGAUUAUAGAAAUUAAACUGUGCUUGUAACAGCAGGUUGUGUUGACUCAGGACCGUGGGCUCCCCAAGGGCGGGGCUCCCCAGGAAUGCACCCCACUCUGUAUUUGUUGCACUGAGUUUAACCUAAUCAGUGGUGUCACUGUCACCCGUACUCCUGGCUGCCUCCACUCCCAUCGGGGAGAGGCCGGGCCGUCGAUGGAGCCCUGAGAGAAGGGUGCCUGGCCUCGGCCCCGACACGUUCCCACGCUGCGCUGACUGUCCUGUGCGGGUUUCUGGGGAGACCGUUCCUCCCUGAGUGGCUUUGGGUGGCAGGGACCAGAGCAGGCCUGACCACGCCAGGCCAGGCUCCCCCAGCUCCCUCCUUGGCGAGCUUGGUCUUGCGUCUCCCUUGGUCACCAGGAAAAGCCCAGCUUUCGUGACACCCAGCUGCCGGGCAAUCCCGAGGGAGCACUUGGAUGGAUGCGUUGGUACUGGACCCCAAGAUGGAGCGCAGUCUCUACACACGGGGAAUUGGCGCCAGGCAGGCCGAGCCCAUCAGUGCCCCGGCCCCCCACCACACCAGCCGGGCGUGGAGAGGCCAUCGUGGGUGCCCAGGUCAAGGGCCUGCACCUGACCCACACAGCUACGGGAACAGCCCGCCCUACCGAGGCCAACAGUCUCCUGUGGGGAUGGUCCCCAGGGCCGCGGCCCUACCUGGACGUGCCGCUGUGCCUAUCCCCGGGCCCCAAGGGGCACCUGUCGCCUCUGGGCAGCAGGCAUGGGCCUCCCCGCUCCUGCCGUGGACGAGAUGCCCCUCUACACUCAGAGGCCUCUUCCUCGUCUCCCCCUGCACAGCCCCCCUCCUAGGGAAGUUUCCAGACACCCAUCUGGGAACAUGUCUGCCUGCACCUGCCCUGGAGUGGGGGCCUGUGGAGGACAGGCAGCGCACACAGGGUGAAAACCACUCAAGCCGCUUUUCAGGCUGUCAGACGUCCCCACCCCACGUUUUCACAGCCCUAGUAACUCUCCAGGCCUGGGGUGUCUUCUCCAUUGACCUUCCACACAGAAUUAAAAGCCCCAUUCGAAGAGGAAGCCGGGACCCUGCAGGCUGGGGUCAUGACCCGAGAAGGGCAGAGUGGGGCCGGGCCCCGCCUGAAGCUGACCCCAACCCGGGCCACCACUCAGCUCGCCCUGGUGGCUCCUGCGAUCCCACUGCCGGCCAGACGCUCUCUCCCUCACCCAGACCAGCCCUCACCGGGAGACACGAAGCCGAGUUGGGCAAGGUGAGAGGAGUCCCAGUCUGCCAACUGCCGCCGCCCGCCAAAACUGCCAAGGCCGUGACUCACCAGGAAGCGGUGAGUCAGGUCGCUUGGCUCUGCUGUGUCGUGCCUCUAAGUGGCAAGUCUGCGAGGGGCUCGAAGAAAGGAGAUGCAAAUAGGAUGUGAGGC
ensembl:lncRNA